rnacentral:rRNA from 1 species
AGAUUGAACGCUGGCGGCAUGCCUUACACAUGCAAGUCGAACGGCGGCACGGGAGCAAUCCUGGUGGCGAGUGGCGAACGGGUGAGUAAUACAUCGGAACGUGCCCAAUCGUGGGGGAUAACGCAGCGAAAGCUGUGCUAAUACCGCAUAAGAUCUACGGAUGAAAGCAGGGGAUCGCAAGACCUUGCGCGAAUGGAGCGGCCGAUGGCAGAUUAGGUAGUUGGUGAGGUAAAGGCUCACCAAGCCUUCGAUCUGUAGCUGGUCUGAGAGGACGACCAGCCACACUGGGACUGAGACACGGCCCAGACUCCGUACGGGAGGCAGCA